UGGGACCUUCGGGGCCCUCUACCAUCACAGACCGGGCGGCAACGCCUGGCGAAGCAGACGGAAGACAGGAA
rnacentral:ncRNA from 1 species